rnacentral:rRNA from 1 species
UACGGAGGGGGCUAGCGUUGUUCGGAAUUACUGGGCGUAAAGCGCGCGUAGGCGGACCUGCAAGUCGGGGGUGAAAGCCCGAGGCUCAACCUCGGAACUGCCCUCGAUACUGCGGGUCUCGAGUCCGGGAGAGGUGAGUGGAAUUCCUAGUGUAGAGGUGAAAUUCGUAGAUAUUAGGAAGAACACCAGUGGCGAAGGCGGCUCACUGGUCCGGUACUGACGCUGAGGUGCGAAAGCGUGGGGAGCAAACAGG